CCAGACUCCUACGGGAGGCAGCAGUGGGGAAUAUUGCACAAUGGGGGGAACCCUGAUGCAGCGACGCCGCGUGAGGGAAGAAGGUUUUCGGAUUGUAAACCUCUGUCCUCUGUGACGAUAAUGACGGUACCUGACUAAGAAGCCCCGGCUAACUACGUGCCAGCAGCCGCGGUAAUACGUAGGGGGCAAGCGUUAUCCGGAUUUACUGGGUGUAAAGGGAGCGUAGACGGUUAUGCAAGUCUGAAGUGAAAGCCCAAGGCUCAACCAUGGGACUGCUUUGGAAACUGUAAAACUGGAGUGCAGGAGAGGUAAGCGGAAUUCCUAGUGUGGCGGCGAAAUGCGUAGAUAUUAGGAGGAACACCAGUGGCGAAGGCGGCUUACUGGACUGUAACUGACGUUGAGGCUCGAAGGCGUGGGGAGCAAACAGGAUUAGAUACCCCAGUA
rnacentral:rRNA from 1 species